CCUUAAUAGCGGCUGCACCAUUAGGAUGUCCUGAUCCAACAUCGAGGUCGUAAACCCCCUCGUCGAUAGGGACUCUGGGAGAGGAUUGCGCUGUUAUCCCUAGGGUAACUCGGUCCGUUGAUCGGCGUUCGCCGGAUCAUUUUUGGUCAGAAAUUCUGGUACUUAGAGUUGUGGCUCUUGGUUGUGGGGGCAGUGCCCCCAGUCCACAUGGGGGCUUUGUUUUCCCCCGCGGUCGCCCCAACCAAAGACAUAGGGGCUAGGGGUCACUGUGUUUUUACCUGUUAAUUUAAGGUUACUUGACGUGAUCUGCCUGGUGUCUAAAGCUCCAUAGGGUCUUCUCGUCUUAUGUAUUUAUGUCCGCUUCUGCACGGGCAGAUCAAUUUCAUUGACUUGGAAGAGGAGACAGCUAAGCCCUCGUGAUGCCAUUCAUACAGGUCUUCAUUUAAAAGAC
rnacentral:rRNA from 1 species